CCCUUAGAUGUUCUGGGCCGCACGCGCGCUACACUGAUGAACGCAACGAGACCACCUGUACCGAAAGGCAUGGGUAAACUUGUGAAAGUUCAUCGUGAUGGGGAUAGAUUAUUGCAAUUAUUAAUCUUCAACGAGGAAUUCCUAGUAAGCGCGAGUCAUCAGCUCGCGUUGAUUACGUCCCUGCCAUUUGUACACACCGUCCGUCGCUCCUACCGAUUGAAUGGUCCGGUGAAAUCUUCGGAUUGCUGGAUAGGACUUCAUUGACCUAUCUGCGAGAAGUUGCUUGAACCUUAUCAUUUAGAGGAAGGAGAAGUCGUAACA
rnacentral:rRNA from 1 species